GAUGAACGCUGGCGGCGUGCUUAACACAUGCAAGUCGAACGGGAAAUACUUUAUUGAAACUUCGGUCGAUUUAAUUUAUUUCUAGUGGCGGACGGGUGAGUAACGCGUGGGUAACCUGCCUUAUACUGGGGGAUAACAGCCAGAAAUGGCUGCUAAUACCGCAUAAGCGCACAGAACCGCAUGGUUCGGUGUGAAAAACUCCGGUGGUAUAAGAUGGACCCGCGUUGGAUUAGCUAGUUGGCAGGGCAGCGGCCUACCAAGGCGACGAUCCAUAGCCGGCCUGAGAGGGUGAACGGCCACAUUGGGACUGAGACACGGCCCAGACUCCUACGGGAGGCAGCAGUGGGGAAUAUUGCACAAUGGGGGAAACCCUGAUGCAGCGACGCCGCGUGAAGGAAGAAGUAUCUCGGUAUGUAAACUUCUAUCAGCAGGGAAGAUAAUGACGG
rnacentral:rRNA from 1 species